rnacentral:rRNA from 1 species
GACGAACGCUGGCGGCGUGCUUAACACAUGCAAGUCGAACGGAAAGGCCCUGCUUUUGUGGGGUGCUCGAGUGGCGAACGGGUGAGUAACACGUGAGUAACCUGCCCUUGACUUUGGGAUAACUUCAGGAAACUGGGCUAAUACCGGAUAGGAGCUCCUUCUGCAUGGUGGGGGUUGGAAAGUUUCGGCGGUUGGGGAUGGACUCGCGGCUUAUCAGCUUGUUGGUUGGGUAGUGGCUUACCAAGGCUUUGACGGGUAGCCGGCCUGAGAGGGUGACCGGCCACAUUGGGACUGAGAUACGGCCCAGACUCCUACGGGAGGCAGCAGUGGGGAAUAUUGCACAAUGGGCGGAAGCCUGAUGCAGCAACGCCGCGUGCGGGAUGACGGCCUUCGGGUUGUAAACCGCUUUCGCCUGUGACGAAGCGUGAGUGACGGUAAUGGGUAAAGAAGCACCGGCUAACUACGUG